AUAUCAGUCAUGCAUAGCAUAUCAAUAAGCGGAGGAAAAGAAACUAACAAGGAUUCCCUCAGUAACGGCGAGUGAAGCGGGAAGAGCUCAAAUUUGAAAUCUUCAAGGUUCUACCUUGACGAAUUGUAGUUUAUAAGAAGUGUUUUCUGUUAGGAGUUUGGCUAAAAGUUCUUUGGAAUAGGACAUCAUAGAGGGUGAGAAUCCCGUAUUUGGUCAUUCCUUCCUAGCGUUGUGAUACACUUUCAACGAGUCGGAUUGUUUGGGAAUGCAGUCCAAAAUGGGUGGUAAAUUUCAUCUAAAGCUAAAUAUUGGCGAGAGACCGAUAGCGAACAAGUACCGUGAGGGAAAGAUGAAAAGAACUUUGAAAAGAGAGUUAAACAGUACGUGAAAUUGUCAAAAGGGAAGCGUUUGACACCAGUGUUGUUUUUCCGAAAAUCAAUUACGAAUGUUUUGUUUUUGAGGAAGUUAUGACUUCAUCGGCUUGCUUCCUUUCUUUACGAAACUUUCUUAAUGCACUUUUCGGUUAACAAGUCAACAUCAAUUUCUUUUGUUGUAAAAGGGUAUGAGGAAGGUGGCUUUCUUUUCGGAGAAAGUGUUUAUAGCCUUGUGCCUCUGCAAUCGGAGAGAUUGAGGUCUGCAGCGUAGAUCCUUCGGGGUUAGAUACAUUUGUGCUAAGUUAUAGCUUUUCAUAGACAACUUGUUGACUAUGUUUAGUCUUGUAGCUUACUCGCUUAUGCUAUUUUACCUACGCUUAGGAUGUUGAUCUCUCACAGUCGAGC
rnacentral:rRNA from 1 species